ACGCUCGACACCUACAGGAGGCAGCAGUGGGGGAUAUUGCACAAUGGGGGAAACCCUGAUGCAGCAACGCCGCGUGAGGGAAGAAGGUUUUCGGAUUGUAAACCUCUGUCCUUGGUGACGAUAAUGACGGUAGCCAAGGAGGAAGCUCCGGCUAACUACGUGCCAGCAGCCGCGGUAAUCUGAGCGGGCUGGCAAGGC
rnacentral:rRNA from 1 species